rnacentral:rRNA from 1 species
UACGUAGGUGGCAAGCGUUGUCCGGAAUUAUUGGGCGUAAAGCGCGCGCAGGUGGUUCUUUAAGUCUGAUGUGAAAGCCCCCGGCUCAACCGGGGAGGGUCAUUGGAAACUGGGGAACUUGAGUGCAGAAGAGGAUAGUGGAAUUCCAAGUGUAGCGGUGAAAUGCGUAGAGAUUUGGAGGAACACCAGUGGCGAAGGCGACUGUCUGGUCUGUAACUGACACUGAGGCGCGAAAGCGUGGGGAGCAAACAGG